rnacentral:rRNA from 1 species
UACGUAGGGGCAAGCGUUAUCCGGAUUUACUGGGUGUAAAGGGAGCGCAGACGGCAGAGCAAGUCUGAUGUGAAAGCCCGGGGCUCAACCCCGGAACUGCAUUGGAAACUGUUGAGCUUGAGUGUCGGAGGGGUAAGCGGAAUUCCUAGUGUAGCGGUGAAAUGCGUAGAUAUUAGGAGGAACACCGGUGGCGAAGGCGGCUUACUGGACGAUCACUGACGUUGAGGCUCGAAAGCGUGGGGAGCAAACAGGAUUAGAUACCCUGGUAGUCCCU